rnacentral:rRNA from 1 species
CACAAGCGGUGGAGCAUGUGGUUUAAUUCGAUGCAACGCGAAGAACCUUACCUACCCUUGACAUCCAGAGAAUCUGUGAGAGAUCGUAGAGUGCCUUCGGGAGCUCUGAGACAGGUGCUGCAUGGCUGUCGUCAGCUCGUGUCGUGAGAUGUUGGGUUAAGUCCCGUAACGAGCGCAACCCUUAUCCUUAGUUGCCAACAGGUCAAGCUGGGAACUCUAGGGAGACUGCCGGUGAUAAACCGGGGGAAGGUGGGGACGACGUCAAGUCAUCAUGGCCCUUAUGGGUAGGGCUACACACGUGCUACAAUGGCCGGUACAGAGGGCAGCGAACUUGCGAGAGUAAGCAAAUCCCAGAAAGCCGGUCCUAGUCCGGAUUGCAGUCUGCAACUCGACUGCAUGAAGUCGGAAUCGCUAGUAAUCGCGAAUCAGAAUGUCGCGGUGAAUACGUUCCCGGGCCUU